rnacentral:lncRNA from 1 species
ACAUAUAUCUCAAGAAACAACAAUUUUAAGAUGUUUUAUGUGGAGUACCUCAAGUACCAAAUGUUUUGUGUGGAGUACCUCAAGUAUCAAAUGUUUUGUGUGGAGUAUCUCCUGGAACAGAGAAGUAUGUUAUUGGACACCACCUCAAGUCAUUAGAUGUUGAUGUCAUUAGGCGUGUCUAUAAAGAGUAAUGUGACUCCACUAUAAUGCUAUCUUGAUCCUCUCCAUUAUUUCUUUCCUUCCGCUUGUCCCCAAAUAUUAAAUAUUACAUAUUUGAAGUCUUAUCAAAUUUGGCAUAGUAUUUAUUUUCUGUUUGAUCUCACC